UUCCGGUUGAUCCCGCCGGACCUGACUGCUAUCGGAUUGAUACUAAGCCAUGCGAGUCUUUGCAGUAAUGCAAGGCAUACGGCUCAGUAACACGUAGUCAACUUACCCUAUGGACGAGGAUAAUCUCGGGAAACUGAGCAUAAUACUCGAUAGAUCAUAAUGCCUGGAAUGGUUUAUGGUUGAAAUGAUUCGUCGCCAUAGGAUGGGACUGCGGCCUAUCAGCUUGUUGGUGAGGUAAUGGCCCACCAAGGCGAUUACAGGUACGGGCUCUGAGAGGAGAAGCCCGGAGAUGGGUACUGAGACAAGGACCCAGGCCCUAUGGGGCGCAGCAGGCGAGAAAACUUUGCAAUGUGCGAAAGCACGACAAGGUUAAUCCGAGUGAUUUCUGCUAAAGAAAUCUUUUGCAAGUCAUAAAACCACUAGUGAAUAAGGGGUGGGCAAGUUCUGGUGUCAGCCGCCGCGGUAAAACCGGCACCUCAAGUGGUCAGGAGGAUUAUUGGGCCUAAAGCAUCCGUAGCCGGCUCUGUAAGUUUUCGGUUAAAUCCAUGUGCUCAACGCAUGGGCUGCCGAAAAUACUGCAUAGCUAGGGAGUGGGAGAGGUAGACGGUACUCGGUAGGAAGGGGUAAAAUCCUUUGAUCUAUCGAUGACCACCUGUGGCGAAGGCGGUCUACCAGAACACGUUCGACGGUGAGGGAUGAAAGCUGGGGGAGCAAACCGGAUUAGAUACCCGGGUAGUCCCAGCUGUAAACGAUGCAGACUCGAUGAUGCAUUGGCAUAUAGCCAGUGCAGUGUCGCAGGGAAGCCGUUAAGUCUGCCGCCUGGGAAGUACGUACGCAAGUAUGAAACUUAAGGGAAUUGGCGGGGGAGCACCACAAGGGGUGAAGCCUGCGGUUCAAUUGGAGUCAACGCCGGA
rnacentral:rRNA from 1 species